GUUUUUGAACGCAUAUUGCGCUCUUUGGUAUUCCGAAGAGCAUACUUGUUUCAGUAUCAUA
rnacentral:rRNA from 1 species